rnacentral:tRNA from 1 species
UCCUCGAUAGUAUAGUGGUGAGUAUCUCCGCCUGUCCCGCGGAAGACCUGGGUUCAAUUCCCCGUCGGGGAG